GGUUCGAUGGCGUAGUUGGUUAUCGCAUCUGUCUUACAUGAUCUCCAUCUCAGGGAUUUUAGCACAGAAGGUCCUCAGUUCGAGCCUGGGUCGAGCCA